AUGACGUCAAAGUACCGCGAGAACGAUUCGAGAACUCAUACGAAGUGUAAUUUCGUCUCGCUCUCGCGGCACUUUAACGUCAUGCGUCUGUCAGUUCUAGCGGGGCCGCAGGCAGGAAGUCGAACAGCCGUCUUUCCCUCAAUACGGAUUACCAUGAGGUGGGACUGACGAAGCUCCUCUUUCACGGGUUUCUUUACUGUUUUCAGGAGUGACCAAUAUAACCUCUAUAAUAGAAGAAAAGCUGAAGAUUUCAAAAUUUUCUGAAGGGAGCCACAGACAGAGAUGUAAACUCAGAUUUUCCUUGCUGAUAUCCGUGCAGCAGAGUCAAAGCAGACCUGUCAGAAAACAUCUCUAAGUUGCUAUGAAUCUCAUAACUAGAUACACAUCAUGAGAUAACUAGAGCUUAUGGCUCUGUUUGGAUCCAGCCUCACUUGUGAAGAAUUCAGAUGACGUAAACACUCACAAAGACAUUAUAUGAUGGCAUCUAUAGAUGGACAUACACAACUGCCAAAUGUAACAUAUUGUAAUUACUGCACCAAAGCGCAACCCUACAGAUUUUCAACCCACUUAAUAUUUUUACAAAUACAAUAUAUGUUUAUAUUUGAAAAAAAUAUUCUUUAGCUAAUUUUACUGAUUUAUUUCCAUUUAUUUGUCCACAAUACUCUGCCAAAAUGAUGUUUUGCAUCAUCCAAAUAUUGUUAAUGUACAUAUUACAGACAUUGUAACAACACAAAGUGGGUUGAAAAAGUUUCUUCUUCUAAGUGCAGUAACUACGCAAACACUAAAACCGAGAAAAAAGUUCUUAAAGUGUUUUACACCAGCGGGUCAAACUUGUUACUGCAAUUUUGGCAAACACAUUUCUCUGAUGGGACAAAAUUAAACCAGGAGACUUUGUCACAAGACAACAGAUCUCACAAAGCCCAUUUCAACCUUCACCUCAAUUUUGACCAAAUGCAUAGUUACUGCGCUUUGGCUUUGUUGGGCAGUAUAGUAGUAUUAUAGUAAUGCUGCAGUGAAACCAUGGUAACCAUAUAUUUUUAAAUCAUGGUAAAGUUUGUGGUUACUAAAAUGUAGUACUAUAAGCCUAUGCUGUUGUAAGAGAAUGUUUAUUCUUUAUUAUUGUUGUAAAAUCAUGGUUGAUUUUAUAUUUACCAUGUGUUACUGCAAAUGAUGGUAAAAUCAUGGAUAACUUUGCAUGGGUACAGAAAGGUGUAAACUGGUUGUUUUUAUUUGUAAGUCAUGUUGGUUUUAAUGCAUGUGAUAAAUGUAUAUGCAUUUGAAUAUUUAUUCUGUUUACUGACAAUAAUAAAUUUGCAGUUGCUGAUGUAAA